rnacentral:rRNA from 1 species
UACGAAGGGGGCUAGCGUUGCUCGGAAUCACUGGGCGUAAAGGGUGCGUAGGCGGGUCUUUAAGUCAGGGGUGAAAUCCUGGAGCUCAACUCCAGAACUGCCUUUGAUACUGAAGAUCUUGAGUUCGGGAGAGGUGAGUGGAACUGCGAGUGUAGAGGUGAAAUUCGUAGAUAUUCGCAAGAACACCAGUGGCGAAGGCGGCUCACUGGCCCGAUACUGACGCUGAGGAGCGAAAGCGUGGGGAGCGAACGAGGAU